rnacentral:rRNA from 1 species
ACUAAAUAGAUACCCUGGUAGUCCACGCCCUAAACGAUGUCUACUAGUUGUUGGUGGAGUAAAUCCAUGAGUAAACGCAGCUAAACGCGUGAAGUAGACCGCCUGGGGAGUACGGUCGCAAGAUUAAAACUCAAAGGAAUUGACGGGGGCCCGCACAAGCGGUGGAUUAUGUGGAUUAAAUUCGAUGCAACGCGAAAAACCUUACCUGGCCUUGACAUGCCACUAACGAAGCAGAGAUGCAUUAGGUGCCCGUAAGGGAAGUGGACACAGGUGCUGCAUGGCUGUCGUCAGCCCGUGUCGUGAGAUGUUGGGUUAAGUCCCGCAACGAGCGCAACCCUUGCCAUUAAUUGCCAUCAUUUAGUUGGGCACUUUAAUGGGACUGCCGGUGACAAACCGGAGGAAGGUGGGGAUGACGUCAAGUCCUCAUGGCCCUUAUGGCCAGGGCUUCACACGUAAUACAAUGGUCGGUACAGAGAGUUGCCAACCCGCGAGGGGAGCUAAUCUCAGAAAGCCGAUCGUAGUCCGGAUUGUUCUCUGCAAC